rnacentral:rRNA from 1 species
AUAUCAAUAAGCGGAGGAAAAGAAACCAACAGGGAUUGCCUUAGUAACGGCGAGUGAAGCGGCAAGAGCUCAGAUUUGAAAUCCGGUGCGGUACCCGUGCCCGAGUUGUAAUCUGGAGAGGAUGCCCCGGCGAGGCCGGCCGUCCAAGUUCCUUGGAACAGGACGUCUUAGAGGGUGAGAACCCCGUACCCGGCGGCCUGCCGAGCCGCGUGGGGCUCCUUCGACGAGUCGAGUUGUUUGGGAAUGCAGCUCAAAUUGGGUGGUAAAUUCCAUCUAAAGCUAAAUACUGGCGAGAGACCGAUAGCGCACAAGUA